AGAGGUACAGCUCGGUGGUGGAGUGCAUGCCUAGCAUGCACAAGGUCCUGAGUUCAAUCCCCAGUACCUCCG
rnacentral:tRNA from 1 species